rnacentral:rRNA from 1 species
GAUGAACGCUAGCUACAGGCUUAACACAUGCAAGUCGCGGGGCAGCAUGGGGGUUGCUUGCAAUCCCCGAUGGCGACCGGCGCACGGGUGAGUAACGCGUAUCCAACCUGCCCUUCACCACGGGAUAACCCGGCGAAAGUCGGACUAAUACCGUAUGUUGUCCAUUGACGGCAUCCGAUUUGGACGAAAGGUUUGGCGGUGAAGGAGGGGGAUGCGUCCGAUUAGCUGGACGGCGGGGUGACGGCCCACCGUGGCGACGAUCGGUAGGGGUUCUGAGAGGAAGGUCCCCCACACUGGAACUGCGACACGGUCCAGACUCCUACGGGAGGCAGCAGUGGGGAAUAUUGGGCAAUGGGCGUAAGCCUGAACCAGCCAAGUAGCGUGCAGGAUGACGGCCCUAUGGGUUGUAAACUGCUUUUAUGCGGGGAUAAAGUGGCCCACGUGUGGGUUUUUGCAGGUACCGCAUGAAUAAGGACCGGCUAAUUCCGUG